rnacentral:rRNA from 1 species
GAGUUUGAUCCUGGCUCAGGUUGAACGCUGGCGGCAGGCCUAACACAUGCAAGUCGAGCGGCAGCACGGGUACUUGUACCUGGUGGCGAGCGGCGGACGGGUGAGUAAUGCCUAGGAAUCUGCCUGGUAGUGGGGGAUAACGCUCGGAAACGGACGCUAAUACCGCAUACGUCCUACGGGAGAAAGCAGGGGACCUUCGGGCCUUGCGCUAUCAGAUGAGCCUAGGUCGGAUUAGCUAGUUGGUGAGGUAAUGGCUCACCAAGGCGACGAUCCGUAACUGGUCUGAGAGGAUGAUCAGUCACACUGGAAUUGAGACACGGUCCAGACUCCUACGGGAGGCAGCAGUGGGGAAUAUUGGACAAUGGGCGAAAGCCUGAUCCAGCCAUGCCGCGUGUGUGAAGAAGGUCUUCGGAUUGUAAAGCACUUUAAGUUGGGAGGAAGGGCAGUUACCUAAUACGUAUCUGUUUUGACGUUACCGACAGAAUAAGCACCGGCUAACUCUGUGCCAGCAGCCGCGGUAAUACAGAGGGUGCAAGCGUUAAUCGGAAUUACUGGGCGUAAAGCGCGCGUAGGUGGUUCGUUAAGUUGGAUGUGAAAUCCCCGGGCUCAACCUGGGAACUGCAUUCAAAACUGUCGAGCUAGAGUAUGGUAGAGGGUGGUGGAAUUUCCUGUGUAGCGGUGAAAUGCGUAGAUAUAGGAAGGAACACCAGUGGCGAAGGCGACCACCUGGACUGAUACUGACACUGAGGUGCGAAAGCGUGG